CUCUGCAGUGCUCUGACUGAGCGACAGCGACAUAGAUUCGGGGUUACUCGGAGCUCCUCGGAGAAGAACAUCUCAACCAGGGGCUGGAUUUUACAUCAAAUGAAACGUUAUUUAGGUUACUUAAAACCCAACAGACAUUUAGAGAGUUAGUGCGGUAUCCCACAUUAGAAAUAUAUAGUGCCGUGUUUUUUUUAAAUAAAAACCCUUUUUUAAAUGAGAUUUUAACACGGCGUAAUCAAAUGCAUUCACCAUUAUUGCCUGGAAGGCUGGAAAUCUAUCGGGUCGAGGAGGAGCUUCGGGAUUUUUCUCAGCUGGGAGACAAGAAUAAUAUGUCCAGGCGUAAACAGACCAACCCUUUCAAAGUUAAUUGGUCUUUCCCCUCGGCAGGGCUGGCUGGCCCAGAGCACUCAGUGGCAAUGGAGGGAAGAGCAGAUUUCACAGAGGAUGGCGAGAGCCACAGCAACAACUCCCACGAGGCAGAUGAACAGGACAGCGUCUCGGAGGAUAGUGACAGUGACCAAGAUAAUCCUGAUUCAUCUUCCAACACGUCCGCUGAUGACACUCUGAUGUCCCCGAAGUGUGGCCCUUCUGACGGGGACAUGAAAGAGGAGUGCAAUGGGGGCAAUGAUUUAAAUAAUAGCUACAUAUGCCCGCUGUGUCACGUGGAGUGUGGCAGCCCGAAGCAGGUCAUUGCACACGUCUACCAGCACACGACUAUGUUUCGAAACAGUAAGAGCUAUGUGUGCCCGGUGUGUGGGCGAGCUCUGAGCUCACCAGGCUCGCUGGGGAGACACCUCCUUAUCCACUCAGAGGAUCGCCUCUCAAACUGCGCAGUCUGUGGAUCCCACUUCACUGAUAUGAGCAACUUCAACAGGGAGAAGCUACGAGACUUCCUCAGCCCUGAGAACAGCAACAGCAAGGGGGGCUCUUCUCUAUCCCAGCCACUUCCAGACCUGAACCCGAACCUCAUACCCAACCUUGCCUCCUCCAUCGCUCCUCUCCCGGCACUCCCUUCACUCUCUGACAGCCUGAACUCUCCAACACCCUUCCCCCCUCUGCUUCCAGAUGUCUUGAACCCGGGGCCUGUCUACCCGGCUGGCAUCCUGUUGGUCUGCAACAGCUGUGUGGCAUACCAGAAUCUAGUGGAGAUCCAGUCAUCCUCCAUGAGGAAGUGGGCGGUCCGGAGGCAAAACGAACCCAUGGAGUCGAGGAUGCACCGUCUGGAGAGAGAGCGGGAGGCCAAGAAGAGCAAGCGGGCCAGCGAGUCGCCUGAUGAACGUGAGCUGCGCAGGCUGAGGGACCGCGAGUCCAAGCGCCUCCAGAGGAUGCAGGAGACGGAGGAGCAGAGGGCGCGCAGGCUUCAGCGGGACCGGGAGGCUAUGCGGCAAAAACGAGCCACUGAGACUCCUGAGAAGAGGCAGGCCCGGCUCAUCCGGGAGAGGGAGGCCAAGCGGCUCAAACGGAGGCUGGAGAAGAUUGACCCCACCCUGCGGACGCAGAUCGAACACGACCCCGCAGCAAUGGCGGCUCUUACCGCCGACAUGAACCUCUUCCCGUUCCCCAUGCCCUGCCCGAGUCUAGACAACAGCCUCUUUAUGAAAUUGCCCUAGCGUGGAAAAGGGUUUGAAGCCGCUCCCCACCUCUGGUUGAAUAUAGCCACAAAACUGGUUCACAAGAAAGGGACAAAGAUUGUAUGAUUCCUUCUAUUAGACCAACAAAGCGAAUGAGUUGCUGCACACUACACUAAUAUACACUCAGUUUUUGGAGAAAACGAGCGUAGCACCUUCUGUCCUUAAUUACUGAACUAAAGGGACAUGAUGGGGUAAAAUUAGCAACAGAAACAAUUAACCCAUCUAUGUGUAAAGGAUUGUAUAGCAUUAGAAUUCACUUGUGUUGAAGUCUGGACAUUUGACGUUGAAGGAUACAAAGUCAUUUUUGCAUCUGAAUUUAAACAACCUUAGUUGGCACGACUAAUUACUGUAUGUUGAAGUGAAUGGGAAGCUUAAGAUUUUAUUUUUUAUUUGCAAGGAGUUACGUGAAGACAACCUGAUGCAACAAACUAAAAGUUAGCUUAUCAAGAACUAGUGAUAAUGUUGACUGCAAUGGACUUUAAUUACAAGGACUUUGCGGACCAGAGACUGGAACUCACUGGCAGCUGUUAGCCGUGGCUUUGCCUUGCUGCCGAUGUGGGUCGACAGCCAGUUUAUAUUCAUUGAAUCUACUACCUCGGGAUCGGACCUUGCAGUGAUUUCACUGUGUAGUGGCCUAAUUGGCCUUAAGAGGGCGCAUUCAAAGCCAGUGCCAGUAGGUGUACAGAACUUCAAUGAAUGUACUUUGCUGGCAUGAAGACUGGUAUGCUGUUCCAACUCCUUGACCUUGGUCUGUGUAUCGGAAUAUUAUCCUGGAAGUUGUUGUUUACAAAGUAGCUCAAACAAGGCCAAAAAUGAGAAAACAACAUGCUGUAUUCGUGUUUAAAUCAUGUGUGUAUCACGUGCUGUAAAUGAAAGGUUUGAAAACAGUUCUCUGUUGCUGAGUUACACAUACCGGUAAAAAAACAAAGCAACGAGGAAAGAAGGAAUAGAAUAUAAAAAUAAAGAUGAACACUUUUGAGUUUCUUUUAUGCAAAUCUUAUGCAUGCUCUUUUGUGUGUUAUUA